CCUACGGGGGGCAGCAGUGAGGAAUAUUGGUCAAUGGGCGGGAGCCUGAACCAGCCAAGUAGCGUGAAGGAAGACGGCGCUAAGGGUUGUAAACUUCUUUUGUCAGGGAAUAAAGUGAGGCACGUGUGCCUUUUUGAAUGUACUUGAUGAAAAAGCAUCGGCUAACUCCGUGCCAGCAGCCGCGGUAAUACGGAGGAUGCGAGCGUUAUCCGGAUUUAUUGGGUUUAAAGGGUGCGUAGGCGGUCUGUAAAGUCAGCGGUAAAAGCCCGGGGCUCAACCCAGACGAGCCGUUGAAACUGGCAGCCUAGAGUAGGCGAGAGGUACGCGGAAUGCGCGGUGUAGCGGUGAAAUGCAUAGAUAUCGCGAAGAACUCCGAUUGCGAAGGCAGCGUACCGAC
rnacentral:rRNA from 1 species